GUGACUGCGUACCUUUUGUAUAAUGGGUCAGCGACUUAUAUUCUGUAGCAAGGUUAACCGAAUAGGGGAGCCGGAGGGAAACCGAGUCUUAAUUGGGCGUUAAGUUGCAGGGUAUAGACCCGAAACCCGGUGAUCUAGCCAUGGGCAGGUUGAAGGUUGGGUAACACUAACUGGAGGACCGAACCGACUAAUGUUGAAAAAUUAGCGGAUGACCUGUGGCUGGGGGUGAAAGGCCAAUCAAACCGGGAGAUAGCUGGUUCUCCCCGAAAGCUAUUUAGGUAGCGCCUCGUGAAUUCAUCUCCGGGGGUAGAGCACUGUUUCGGCUAGGGGGCCAUCCCGGCUUACCAACCCGAUGCAAACUGCGAAUACCGGAGAAUGUUAUCACGGGAGACACACGGCGGGUGCUAACGUCCGUCGUGAAGAGGGAAACAACCCAGACCGCCAGCUAAGGUCCCAAAGUCAUGGUUAAGUGGGAAACGAUGUGGGAAGGCCCAGACAGCCAGGAUGUUGGCUUAGAAGCAGCCAUCAUUUAAAGAAAGCGUAAUAGCUCACUGGUCGAGUCGGCCUGCGCGGAAGAUGUAACGGGGCUAAACCAUGCACCGAAGCUGCGGCAGCGACACUGUGUGUUGUUGGGUAGGGGAGCGUUCUGUAAGCCUG
rnacentral:rRNA from 25 species